AUUGAACGCUGGCGGCAGGCUUAACACAUGCAAGUCGAGCGCGCGGCGGACGGGUGAGUAAUGUCUGGGAAACUGCCUGAUGGAGGGGGAUAACUACUUGAAACGGUAGCUAAUACCUCAUACCAUCAGAUGUGCCCAGAUGGGAUUAGCGAGUAGGUGGGGUAAUGGCUCACCUAGGCUACGAUCCCUAGCUGGUCUGAGAGGAUGACCAGGCACCCUGGAACCGGUACACGUUCCAGACUCCUACGGGAGGCAGCAGUGGGGAAUAUUGCACAAUGGGCGCAAGCCUGAUGCAGCGAAGCCGCGUGUGUGAAGAAGGCCUUCGGGUUGUAAAGCACUUUCAGGGAGGAGGCGUUACUCGCAGAAGAAGCACCGGCUAACUCCGUGCCAGCAGCCGCGGUAAUAC
rnacentral:rRNA from 1 species